rnacentral:tRNA from 1 species
GACCGCGUAGCUCAGUUAGAAGAGCAUUGGGCUAGUAUUCCAAAGGUCGUAGGUUCGAAUCCCACCGUGGCCG